AUUGAACGCUGGCGGCAUGCCUUACACAUGCAAGUCGAACGGUAACGGGCCUUCGGGUGCCGACGAGUGGCGAACGGGUGAGUAAUACAUCGGAACGUGCCCGAUCGUGGGGGAUAACGAGGCGAAAGCUUUGCUAAUACCGCAUACGAUCUACGGAUGAAAGCAGGGGACCGCAAGGCCUUGCGCGGACGGAGCGGCCGAUGGCAGAUUGGGUAGUUGGUGGGAUAAAAGCUUACCAAGCCGACGAUCUGUAGCUGGUCUGAGAGGAUGAUCAGCCACACUGGGACUGAGACACGGCCCAGACUCCUACGGGAGGCAGCAGUGGGGAAUUUUGGACAAAGGGCGCAAGCCUGAUCCAGCCAUGCCGCGUGCAGGAUGAAGGCCUUCGGGUUGUAAACUGCUUUUGUACGGAACGAAAAGCCUUCUUUUAAUACAGGAGGGUCAUGACGGUACCGUAAGAAUAAGCACCGGCUAACUACGUG
rnacentral:rRNA from 1 species